GUCCGGAGUCCCUGAGAGAUCAGGGAGUGCUCGAAAGAGAAUCGGAACACAGGUGCUGCAUGGCUGUCGUCAGCUCGUGUCGUGAGAUGUUGGGUUAAGUCCCGNAACGAGCGCAACCCUUGUCAUUAGUUGCUACAUUUAGUUGAGCACUCUAAUGAGACUGCCGGUGACAAACCGGAGGAAGGUGGGGAUGACGUCAAGUCCUCAUGGCCCUUAUGGGUAGGGCUUCACACGUCAUACAAUGGUACAUACAGAGGGCCGCCAACCCGCGAGGGGGAGCUAAUCCCAGAAAGUGUAUCGUAGUCCGGAUUGUAGUCUGCAACUCGACUACAUGAAGUUGGAAUCGCUAGUAAUCGCGGAUCAGCAUGUCGCGGUGAAUACGUUCCCGGGUCUUGUACACACCGCCCGUCACACCAUGGGAGCGGGUUUCACCAGAAGUGGGUAGCCUAACCGCAAGGAGGGCGCUCACCACGGUGGGAUUCGUGACUGGGGUGAAGUCGUAACAAGGUAGGCGUAGUGCU
rnacentral:rRNA from 1 species